UCCCCUUCGGGGGNACAAAGUGACAGGUGCNUGCAUGGUUGUCGUCAGCUCGUGUCGUGAGAUGUUGGGUUAAGUCCCGCAACGAGCGCAACCCUUAAGCUUAGUUGCCAUCAUUAAGUUGGGCACUCUAAGUUGACUGCCGGUGACAAACCGGAGGAAGGUGGGGAUGACGUCAAAUCAUCAUGCCCCUUAUGAUUUGGGCUACACACGUGCUACAAUGGACAAUACAAAGGGCAGCUAAACCGCGAGGUCAAGCAAAUCCCAUAAAGUUGUUCUCAGUUCGGAUUGUAGUCUGCAACUCGACUACAUGAAGCUGGAAUCGCUAGUAAUCGUAGAUCAGCAUGCUACGGUGAAUACGUUCCCGGGUCUUGUACACACCGCCCGUCACACCACGAGAGUUUGUAACACCCGAAGCCGGUGGAGUAACCAUUUAUGGAGCUAGCCGUCNAAGGUGGGACAAAUGAUUGGGGUGAAGUCNUAACAAGG
rnacentral:rRNA from 1 species